rnacentral:misc_RNA from 1 species
GGUAUAUGAUUUCAUUCCCAUAAAAGGCCUAAGCUAAUACAUAAGAAGGAUCAAGUAAAGAUCCAAGAAAUACAAACAAGAGCUCAACCCAAAGACUUGCUAGCUAAAACCAAUAAAUCAUAUUAUAAGCUUAACUAGCACAACUAAGUUGGCAUAAAAAAUGGGCCCUAGUAGAUUGCCCCCAAUUCCACGAUACAAUCGGCCAGAUGCCAAAAUCAAAACCCUAGGGUUCCAAACUUAACCCAAACGAUGAGGAUCCGAGAACCAAGAAAUAGUUGCAUUGCUGUCCCAAAUCUUUAACACAAAUGAGCCAUCCAAGGAAGUAGGGAAACUAAUGAAAUCGCACAGAGAUUUGAUCAAAAGGACAAACACCUACAAACUGCAAGAACCCCCAAACAAUGUCCCUAGUUGAAGGCAAAGCUAGCAAAGCCCAUAAAAAUAACAAAGGCAAGAACAUAAACAAUACUUGGAAAGGAACAUAAUCAACAGAGGAGAGGAGAAAAUGGGUGUGUGAUAGAGCUCUUUUGCUCCUUUGAACAUUGAGGGACUGGGUACCAAGGAGAUGGCACUAGUAGCAUACCCAAGAGAUACCAAAUAGCUAAACAGAACCAAUCCACCCCAACCAAAGCUUCAACAUAUCAGAGAAAGGAAAAAAAACUAAAAUUGGUUAGAAGCCUCCCCUGCAUGCAACUGGAACUUCGACCAAACAAAAGAGUCUCUUGAUAGUCCAUGCACCACCAGAACCAAAUCAGAAGCAUUCAGAGCCAAGCUCCAUUAACCAGAUCAAAAUCGCCUUCUUAUAGAUGGCCAUAGUUCUAUUGUCAAAAGAGCCAAACAAACACUUAAUUAUUCACAACCAUCCCACUCGGAGGCAAGGAAGGUGACCCACUUCCAGAAUAGGAGGAUAGCUACCCCUACCCCAAAGGGCAGAGGGAGUUGUAGAUCAACAAAAAUGGAAGCCGGGCCUCAAAGAACUAAGGAAAAAAUUUGAGAGAAC